rnacentral:lncRNA from 1 species
GCAAGCAAGCAAACCUCUUCUGGAGAAGGUUUCCUGUGCUUUGAGGCUGCCACUGUUCCUACAGCACUGAGAAAUGGCUGGGGGCCACUUGGAGAUAGAGGCCCCAAGGGCAGAGCCAGUGGGUUGUGUCAACAUGGAAUUUUACUAGAUGGCAGCAAUGUACCAGUGGAGAGCCCUGGCAUGGCUGACUGUCCCCAGCUAAGCCCUGCAUGAAGCAGCAGUUCGGACUCCCAGGGGCUUGACUGACCUGCAGAACAGCCCUGAGUGGGGCAGGUAGCCGGAGUCGGCUCUUCCUCCAGCCUUUGCCAUUCUGUGAAGAGGGCACAAGUCUGAAAGCAU